UACAGAGGUCUCGAGCGUAGGCGGAAUCACUGGGCUUAAAGCGUGUGUAGGCGGAUGCCUAAGUACCUUGUGAAAUCCCACGGCUUAACCGUGGAACUGCUUGGUAUACUGGGUGUCUUGAGCCACUCAGGGGCGAGCGGAACAAAUGGUGGAGCGGUGAAAUGCGUAGAUAUCGGGAAGAACACCCGUGGCUAAGGCGGCUCUCUAGUACGUGACUGACGCUGAGACGCGAAAGCGUGGGGAGCGAACAGGA
rnacentral:rRNA from 1 species